GCUGAUGCUGACUAGAAGGACUGAGUCUUCUGAGAGGCAGCUUGAUUACUAGAAAAGACCACUGGGCUGGAAGUCAGGAGGCCUGGGCUAGUCUCAGCUCUGCCGCUAACACGCUGCACGACCCUGGGAGUGGAGUCAGAUGUCCCACAAGGCUGAAACAAUGACUGGACCUGUGCCAAGAAAGCUCACCUUGAGGACUUGGGAUGGAGGGUCCAGCUCAGCACCUGGCUAACAGCAGGCACUCAGUGAAUGUUGAUGUGAACAAAUGAUCUGAUCCAAAGAAGUGUCUCCUAAAGUUGCUUCUUUCCAAUCAAGCCAACAAAUGCAAUAUUCUGAAUGGAGGUACCAGAGAUCACAUCAUCUUUAGCUUUCUGCCACAGAUUCGCAUGAAGAAUCCUACAUGGUGAAGCCAAAAUCCUUAAUGCUAGAUAGAACUUUGCAUUGGACGCUUUAAAAUGUGAUGUCUGGCUUUGAAGAGAUAGUGUAACACACAUAAUUUACUGUGCAUCAAUCUCACUAAUGGAAAACAAACAACCCAUAAAUCAUCUUUCUUCAAGGGUAAUGUGUUUAGGUUAAAAAUUGAUUGGUCAGUGUUAAAAUAUAUGGAAAUUUUAGUCUUCCAGAUUCCAUGAAAAUGUCUGUAAAAAAAAAAACUUUUAAAAAUGAAUAAGUACAAAGUUAUUUGUCACAGCACUUAAAAAUACCAUAUGAUUGGAAACACCCUAAUUGUUCAUCAAUAGGGGACUAGUUAAAUAAUUUAUGGUACAUCAUCAUUCAUGUAAUGGGAUACUGUGAAAUUGUAAAAAAAAAAUAGAGAAUAAAGAAUUUGCUGACAUAGAACA
rnacentral:lncRNA from 13 species